AGAAUGAACGCUGGCGGCAUGCCUAACACAUGCAAGUCGAACGAAGCCUUCGGGUUUAGUGGCGCACGGGUGCGUAACGCGUGGGAAUCUACCCCUUGGUUCGGAAUAACAGUUGGAAACGACUGCUAAUACCGGAUGAUGACGUAAGUCCAAAGAUUUAUCGCCGAGGGAUGAGCCCGCGUAGGAUUAGCUAGUUGGUGUGGUAAAGGCGCACCAAGGCGACGAUCCUUAGCUGGUCUGAGAGGAUGAUCAGCCACACUGGGACUGAGACACGGCCCAGACUCCUACGGGAGGCAGCAGUGGGGAAUAUUGGACAAUGGGCGAAAGCCUGAUCCAGCAAUGCCGCGUGAGUGAUGAAGGCCUUAGGGUUGUAAAGCUCUUUUACCCGGGAUGAUAAUGACAGUACCGGGAGAAUAAGCUCCGGCUAACUCCGCGCCAGUAGCCGC
rnacentral:rRNA from 1 species